UUGAGUAUGAAAGUCGUUGUGUGAGGAGAAAAGAUCUGUUGGAGACAUUAGCUAAUGAACUGCCUCAAGGUGCGAUUAGAUAUUCUUCAAAGGUCGAUUCCAUUGAAGAAUCUGGACCAUUGAAAUUGGUACAUCUUGCAGAUGGUUCCACUAUUAGAACCAAGGUAAAUCUUUCUCUGAAAUCCUUAGCUUGGAAUCCAUAUUAUUGAAACUUCAACCAACGUGAUAAUUCAAACGUGUAUUUGACCAUUAUCUCAAUUCCUUUCGUUAGUCUAGUACGUGACUAACUUUGAUAAGCUUCAAUUAAGGCCUUAAUUGGGUGUGACGGAGUCAAUUCUGUGGUGGCAAACUGGCUUGGGCUUCAGAAACCUGUCUAUUCUGGGCGCUCUGCAAUUAGAGGCUUUGUUGAGUAUCCGGAAAAACAUGGUUAUCAGCCUAAGUUCCACGCGUAUUUUGGAGGUGGAGUUCGGUUUGGAUUUCUUCCUAGUGAUGAGAAGAGUUUGUACUGGUUUUGCACAUUCACACCAUCUGUUGUUCAUUGUAAGCCACCUCCUACAUACUGUUUCUUUUGAAGAUUUACUUUUUGAAGGAUAUUUUUGUUGGCUAGAGAGCUUACCUCUAUGAAGGGGGAGCCUUGACGUAAUUGGUAAAGUUACUGUCAUGUGACCUAGAGGUCGCGGAUUCGAGCUGUGGAAACAGCCUCUUGCAGAAAUGCAGGGUAAGACUGCGUACAAUAGACCCCUGUGGUCCAAGCCUUCCCCAAACCCUGUGCAUAGCGGGAGCUUAGUGCACCGAGCUGCCCAGAUAGCUUACAUUUCAUAAACUAGUCAUGUUUAGUUGUUCAUUUUAAUUGGGAUUUUAUGCAGUUGAUGGAAAUGCAGAACAAGAUCCAAUGAAAUUGAAGCAAUUCGUGUUGAACAAGGCUAGUAAUGUGUCUAAAGAACUCUCCACCAUUAUAGACAGAACUACGCUCGACUGUAUAUCUAUCGCUCAGCUGAAAUUGAGGUUGCCAUGGAAUGUUCUGCUUGGGAAUAUUUUGAAAAAUAACGUUUGCGUGGUAGGUGAUGCACUUCAUCCCAUGACUCCUGAUCUUGGUCAAGGUGGAUGUUCUGCUUUAGAGGACAGCGUUGUUAUUGCAAAGUGCCUCGGAGAAGCCUUGAUAAAACCGAUAACAGAACAAGAAGACGAUGAAUCUACGAAGAUUAGAAAAGGACUUGAGAAGUAUGCUAAAGAGAGGAGAUGGAGAAGUUUUACAUUUAUCAGUGCUGCUUAUUUAUCUGGUUUCAUACAAGAGAGUGAUAACAAGAUAAUCAGUUUCUUAAGACAACAUUUUUUGGCUGGAGUUACUAUAUCAGUUACACUAAGAAUAGCUAACUUCGACUGCGGAAGAUUAACUGUUUCUUAGUAGCUCAAUUGGAUCUUUUAGAAGCUAUGAAUACCCUUUAUGGACUUUGUUUAGUAUCUAUCUAGCAUACAUGUUCUGGUUUAGCUGUGUUUAAGAAUUGUAAUACCGAAACGGAUCCUUAUUUUGCAAUAAUAAAAUACAAGUUGUGAGCAACCAAUUGUGUCCUUCAUCAAAGAUAUCCAACAACAUCAGUUGUUUAGAAGUAUUGAACAAGUGUUUUCUUAUCUGAGAUCAUUUCGUGCAAUUAGAUACUACUCCCUAUGUUUCAACGACUUGAUACGAAGUUUAACAAAGUAAAUAAGACUUUUGUACCAUGGACCGCUACUUGGUUCAAUGACUUCCAAUUUCCACAAGGGAUCAUUGUUUUGUUACAUACUCUUGAGUAGAUGUAGGAGGAAAUGCAGGAGUCAAAUCAUGUCUUUAAUUGUUUUUUUUUGUUUUUUUUUGGAUUUCUCACUUGACUUGUCAGGCAAUAGUAUCUCUCAUUGGAAAUUUGUUACAAGUUCUGCAGCAAAAUUUUCUACCGUUUGUCUUACAUAAUGGGAUCAAUUCACAUUGUCUUAGGUGACACACACGGCAGAGAUAGUCGAUGACCUCGAAAUGAAAAUAACAUUUAGAUGGGGUACAAGCACCCCCAUUCUUUUGUUUGUUUUUUCUCUCUAUUAGACUACUUUACUUUGAUUUUAUAUCAAUUUAUGAAUGUCGUAAGUAUGUAUUUUUAAUUGAAAUUUGCUAGUAACUAAACCUUAAAAUUUAUAGUUAUUAGCGUGAAAGGAAUUAAAUUUAACAUUAAAAUACGACCCUCAAUUGAUGUUUCUGGUCAUAGUACUGUUAAAAAAUUACUUAUGAUUGUUACAUUUUAUUAUUCAUUAUAGGCUUAUUUUCACAGAAAUUACACAAGUGUAACUCAUAAACUAGUAUAUAUAUAUAUAUAUAUAUUACUAAAAGUGGGAAGAAUCUAAAGCAAAAAUUAGAUUGCGAAAAUACCCUUAAGUAUUAAUUUAUUUUCUUAAAAAUCUAUUUUUAAAAAUAGUCUUUUUAUUUAUUUAUUUUUAAUAUUUUAUAAAAAAUGAAUGUGUCAAUUACUACUCAUUUAUAUAUUUAUAUUCUGUAAUAUAAACAUUUAUUUGCCUUUAUUUCAAUUAUUCACAUGAAUUUUGAUUAUUAUAACUCCUAUAUUAUAUUAAUAGUCAUGUUCAUAAUAUCAUUUGAUAUUCCAUAUUAUUGUCCUAUAAAUAGAGAUAUUAUAAAGGUGCAAGUAUUACACAAUUUAGUUUGACUUUGCUACUUCUCCACCAUUGGUUAUGAGGGUGACACAUAUUCCCAACUUGUGAAUCAUUUAUGUCUUGAAAUAUGUACCAUUCAAUUGCUCAUUUGAAUUUGAACAAAUAAUUUUAUAAAACAGAGUAACUUUAGCUAAAUAAUUAUAAUGGAUAAAUGAAUAGAGUGUUUGAUAAAUAUGAUAGUAUUUAUGCGUUGCACGUUUAUUUCUAUUUUUUAUUAUAAAGUUUGUAAAAUAAAAUAGUAAAUAAAAAAAAAAGCACUUAAAAAGCUACACAACUUGUAAAAUUUAUGGUCACCAAAGCAAGAAUUAUUAUCAACCAUACAAAGACUCAAAUUUUAAAAUUUAAAGUCUUAUCGUGUAUAAUAAUUUUUUAUUUGUAGUUAUUUAUUUGUUGAAUAGGAAUUAUACUAGAUGCAUAUUAUAAUUGUACAUAUAACCACAUAUUUAUUAUCUCAUUACACAUAAUACCUAUUAAGCUAAAUUUAAUUGUUUAAUUUUGCAAGUUUAGAGUACAUUCUCUAAUAUUUUGUAUGUAUUGAACAAUCAAGUCAUUUGUGUAGACUAAUUAUUUAUCAAAUUGAACUUGUACUUCUUUCUUCUGAUUUAUAUACUCAUUAUACACAUGUUUUAAUAUUGCCUUAUAAUUUCAAAAAAAAAUCUAUACAAAUUGGGACACACGUGCUCAAAAACUAGUUCUAAAAAACAAGCUAAAAGAAAGACGUAUCUACAUUUGAAGUUCGAUUUUCGCCUAUUUUAUAUUCCGACAUAUUCAUUCACUUUGACUUAAAGGGCGUGUUUUGCGUGGUAGGUGAUGCACUUCAUCCCAUGACUCCUGAUCUUGGUCAAGGUGGAUGUUCUGCUUUAGAGGACAGUGUUGUCAUCGCAAAGUGCCUCGGAGAAGCCUUGAUAAAACCGAUAACAGAACAAGAAGACGAUGAAUCUACGAAGAUUAGAAAAGGACUUGAGAAGUAUGCUAAAGAGAGGAGAUGGAGAAGUUUUACAUUUAUCAGUGCUGCUUAUUUAUCUGGUUUCAUACAAGAGAGUGAUAACAAGAUAAUCAGUUUCUUAAGACAACAUUUUUUGGCUGGAGUUACUAUAUCAGUUACACUAAGAAUAGCUAACUUCGACUGCGGAAGAUUAACUGUUUCUUAGUAGCUCAAUUGGAUCUUUUAGAAGCUAUGAAUACCCUUUAUGGACUUUGUUUAGUAUCUAUCUAGCAUACAUGUUCUGGUUUAGCUGUGUUUAAGAAUUGUAAUACCGAAACGGAUCCUUAUUUUGCAAUAAUAAAAUACAAGUUGUGAGCAACCAAUUGUGUCCUUCAUCAAAGAUAUCCAACAACAUCAGUUGUUUAGAAGUAUUGAACAAGUGUUUUCUUAUCUGAGAUCAUUUCGUGCAAUUAGAUACUACUCCCUAUGUUUCAACGACUUGAUACGAAGUUUAACAAAGUAAAUAAGACUUUUGUACCAUGGACCGCUACUUGGUUCAAUGACUUCCAAUUUCCACAAGGGAUCAUUGUUUUGUUACAUACUCUUGAGUAGAUGUAGGAGGAAAUGCAGGAGUCAAAUCAUGUCUUUAAUUGUUUUUUUUUGUUUUUUUUUGGAUUUCUCACUUGACUUGUCAGGCAAUAGUAUCUCUCAUUGGAAAUUUGUUACAAGUUCUGCAGCAAAAUUUUCUACCGUUUGUCUUACAUAAUGGGAUCAAUUCACAUUGUCUUAGGUGACACACACGGCAGAGAUAGUCGAUGACCUCGAAAUGAAAAUAACAUUUAGAUGGGGUACAAGCACCCCCAUUCUUUUGUUUGUUUUUUCUCUCUAUUAGACUACUUUACUUUGAUUUUAUAUCAAUUUAUGAAUGUCGUAAGUAUGUAUUUUUAAUUGAAAUUUGCUAGUAACUAAACCUUAAAAUUUAUAGUUAUUAGCGUGAAAGGAAUUAAAUUUAACAUUAAAAUACGACCCUCAAUUGAUGUUUCUGGUCAUAGUACUGUUAAAAAAUUACUUAUGAUUGUUACAUUUUAUUAUUCAUUAUAGGCUUAUUUUCACAGAAAUUACACAAGUGUAACUCAUAAACUAGUAUAUAUAUAUAUAUAUAUAUUACUAAAAGUGGGAAGAAUCUAAAGCAAAAAUUAGAUUGCGAAAAUACCCUUAAGUAUUAAUUUAUUUUCUUAAAAUCAUUUUUAAAAAUAGCUUUUUAUUUAUUUAUUUUUAAUAUUUUAUAAAAAAUGAAUGUGUCAAUUACUACUCAUUUAUUUAUUUAUAUUCUGUAAUAUAAACAUUUAUUUGCCUUUAUUUCAAUUAUUCACAUGAAUUUUGAUUAUUAUAACUCCUAUAUUAUAUUAAUAGUCAUGUUCAUAAUAUCAUUUGAUAUUCCAUAUUAUUGUCCUAUAAAUAGAGAUAUUAUAAAGGUGCAAGUAUUACACAAUUUAGUUUGACUUUGCUACUUCUCCACCAUUGGUUAUGAGGGUGACACAUAUUCCCAACUUGUGAAUCAUUUAUGUCUUGAAAUAUGUACCAUUCAAUUGCUCAUUUGAAUUUGAACAAAUAAUUUUAUAAAACAGAGUAACUUUAGCUAAAUAAUUAUAAUGGAUAAAUGAAUAUAGUGUUUGAUAAAUAUGAUAGUAUUUAUGCGUUGCAUGUUUAUUUUCUAUUUUUUAUUAUAAAGUUCGUAAAAUAAAAUAGUAAAUAAAAAAAAAGGCACUUAAAAAGCUACACAACUUGUAAAAUUUAUGGUCACCAAAGCAAGAAUUAUUAUCAACCAUACAAAGACUCAAAUUUUAAAAUUUGAAGUCUUAUCGUGUAUAAUAAUUUUUGAUUUGUAGUUAUUUAUUUGUUGAAUAAGAAUUAUACUAGAUGCAUAUUAUAAUUGUACAUAUAACCACAUAUUUAGUAUCUCAUUACACAUAAUACCUAUUAAGCUAAAUUUAAUUGUUCAAUUUUGCAAGUUUAGAGUACAUUCUCUAAUAUUUUGUAUGUAUUGAACAAUCAAGUCAUUUGUGUAGACUAAUUAUUUAUCAAAUUGAACUUGUACUUCUUUCUUCUGAUUUAUAUACUCAUUAUACACGUGUUUUAAUAUUGCCUUAUAAUUUCAAAAAAAAUCUAUACAAAUUGGGAUACACGUGCCCAAAAACUAGUAUAUGGAUAAUGAUGAUUGAUUUGUAAGAACAGAACAUUUUGUUAUUUGCUGAAUACAAAAAAAGAUGUGGCUUGUUAACUGGUCAUGUUAUCGGAUUGGACCUUAGUUGCAGUCGGCUUGGUGGAACUAUUCAUCCCAAUAGCAGCCUCUUCCAACUCCAUCAUCUCCGGACACUAAAUCUUGCUCACAAUGACUUCAAUUUUUCUUCAAUCCCACAUAACAUUGGCCGAUUGACGAAUUUGAGACAUCUCAACCUUUCUGGUUCUUUGUUUGAAGGGGAAAUCCCAACAGAAAUCUCAUACCUUUCCAAUUUGGUUUCACUUGAUAUGAGUAACAAGUUGUUAGAAGUGACUAGUACUCAUCCAUGGACCGCUAGUUGUGUAUUUAGUGAUGCCAAAGUUGUAUUAUUUUCUCUCAAUUUAUGCCAAAGUUGGAAAUAGACUUAUGAGGGGGAAAGUACCCCAUUUUAUUUGUCUAGAUAUCUUUUCUUUCUUUAAUUUAAACCACACACUUCCAUAUACCCAGUGUAAUUCCUUAAGUCAGGGUUUAAGAAAGGUAGAGUGUACGGAGACCUUAUCUCUAUGAGGUAGAGAUAGAGAGGUUGCUUUCGAGAAUAAAAUACAAGUUGUGAGCAACCAAUUAUGUCCGUCAUCAAAACUACCCAACAACAUCAGUUGUUUAGAAGCAAAUAUGGUAAUUGGUAACAGCUUAAAGGUAAAUCUGAAGUAUUUUUUAAGUGUUGGCUUAUCUGAGAAUUAGAUGCUACUCCCUCCGUUUCAAUAUGUCUGAAUGGUUUUGACUUGACAUGGAGUUUAAAAAAGUAAAAAAAUAAUUGUAUCUUGUGGUCUCAAAUUAAAAUACGUAGAAUGUACCAUGAACCACUAAUUGGUUCAAUGACUUCAAAAUUCCACUGUAACAUUGUCUUGUUAAAUCAUGUCUUCAAUUAUUGUUCUUUUUAUUUUUCUCACUUGACUUAGUUAAGCAAUAGUAUCUCUCAUUGGAAAUUUGCUGCAAUUCACAUUGUUUUGCGUAACACACACGGCAAAUAUAGUGGAUGACCUUGAAAUGAAAACAACAUUUAGAGAAAACAAAUUUGGAAUAAUUGGUACUGGCCACCAAGAAUUAAAGACUCGAGUCUUUAUGGAAAUUGACUUAAAUUUGGGACAAAUUUUUUUGCAACCACAAAUUAGUUUGUGGUAGAUGAGGGGCAAGUACCCCAUUUUAUUUGUCUGGAUGUUUUACCUCACAGUCCCAUAGACAAGUCAACAACAACAAUAACAUAUUCAGUGUAAUCUCACAAGUGGGGUCUAGAGAAAAGUAGAGUGUGCGUGAGAGGUUGCUUUCAAUAGACCCUUGGCUAAAAAUAAAGCAUGGCCAAGCAUUUUGAAAAAGGGAAUACAAAAGUAAAAGUAAUAACAACAAUAAAAUAAUAUGAAAAGAAGAGUAGUACAACAUACAGAUGAAUGAAUAAUAUGACAAUAAAAUAAAGCGAUAUUCGAAGCACAAAAUACACAGGUGAUACUCGGGAAAAAAAAACUACGAUCGAAUAUAACACAUGAUAGACAAGUCAACAACAAUAAUUGCAUAUUCAAUAUAAUUUCACAAGUGGGGUCUAGAGAGAGUAGAAUUUGUGCAGAAAUUACAGGAGCGUAACUCAGAAACUAGUAUAUAUAUAUGGAUAAUGAUGAUUGGUUUGUAAAAACAUAACAUUCUAUUAUUUGCUGAAUACAAAAAAAAAAAAAAAAAGAGAAAAAAGAUGGGACUUGUCUUUUUCUUUUAUUCACUAGUCUGUUUUUUGUCGGUAAUUAGUGAAAGUUUUUCUUCUUCCUCUGUGAUGAUGCAUCAUGUUUGCUCUCCCACUGAAGCUUUUGCUUUGCUUCACUUCAAACAAUCCUCUCAAAUCUCUGACCAACCUAGAUGUUGGGAUGAGACUGAUCUGCAAUAUGAGAGAUAUUUUGAUAUCCCAAAAACAAAGUCUUGGAAUGAGAGUAGGGAUUGCUGCAGUUGGGACGGGGUAACUUGUGACAUGUUAACCGGUCAUGUUAUCGGAUUGGACCUUAGUUGCAGUCUGCUUUUGGGUACUAUUCAUCCCAAUAGCAGCCUCUUCCAACUCCAUCAUCUCCGGACACUAAACCUUGCUUACAAUAACUUCUAUUCUUCUUCAAUCCCGCAUAACAUUGGCCGAUUGAGGAAUUUGAGGUAUCUCAACCUUUCUCAAUCUUUCUUUGAAGGGGAAAUCCCAACAGAAAUAUCAUACCUUUCCAAUUUGGUUUCACUUGAACUUUUUUGUUACGGAUGUGAACUUGAUGAGAGAACAUUUGAAACAAUUCUUCACAACUUCACAAAUCUGGAGGUAGUUUCUCUCCUUGGUGUCAACAUCUCAUCUUCAAUACCUGUGAAUAUUUCUUCAUCCUCCUUACGGUACGUGGAUCUUGGACAUACUAAUCUGCGAGGUGUUAUCACAGAGAGCUUUUUCCUUCUGCCAGAAUUGGAAAAUCUCAAAUUGAAUGGAAAUGAUCUUCUCAAAGGAGUUUUACCAAAGAUCCACCCGAGCAACACUCUGUUGGAGUUGGAUAUUUCCUACACAGGAAUCUCCGGUGAGCUGCCUGAUUCAAUUGGCACCUUGAGUUCAUUGAAUCUCUUGAACAUGUAUAGAUGCCAAUUCUCUGGUUCCAUUCCUGAAUCCAUUGGCAAUCUUACACAAAUGCGGAAAUUGAAUUUUGGAAAUAAUCAUUUCACCGGCCAUAUUCCUUCCACAAUCUCUAAAUUGAAGCACCUCACAUUUCUAGGUCUUUCGUCCAACUCCUUUUCAGGUGAAGUUCCCGACAUUUUUUCUAACCUCCAAGAGCUACGUACUUUAUAUCUUCGUAACAACAGCUUCGUUGGUUCGUUUCCUUCUACAAUUGUAAGCUUGACACAUCUUCAAGACUUAGAAUUGUCGAGUAAUUCCCUAUCUGGCCAACUGCCUAUUAAUGUGAGCAUGCUUCAAAAGCUAACCAUAUUGGAUCUGUCGUACAACUCACUGAAUGGUACCAUACCAUCUUCGGUGUUUGGCCUCCCUUUGCUAUCUUCAUUAUUGCUCCAACAUAAUCAAUUUAGUGGACUAGAUGAUGAGCUCAAAACAAACCCAACAUUAGCACACCUGGGUUUAAGCCAUAAUCAACUCAGUGGUUCUUUGCUUCAAUCACUUUCGAAUCUCACAAACCUUUCUAUGCUUGACCUUUCAUCAAGUAACAUCACCGUUCAUGUGGGAAAACAAAUCACUUUUCCUGGCCUAGAAGUUUUGCGGUUAUCAUCUUGUGAACUAAAGGAUUUUCCACACUUCUUGAGAAAUGUGAAGACACUUUGGCUCUUGGAUAUUUCUAACAAUAAGAUUCGUGGCCAAAUCCCAAAACUGGUUUAGCGGCAUAAGGUGGGACAACUUGUGGUACCUAAACCUUUCGCAUAAUUCUUUAACAGGCCACCUACAACAAUUUCAUUUCCAUAAUCUAGAGUAUCUUGAUCUUAAAUUUAACUUCCUUCAGGGUCCACUACCUUCAUCCAUUUGUAUCAUGAACAAUUUUCAAUUUCUAGAUUUAUCACACAACAACUUCAGUAACUCGAUUCCAAGUUGCUUGGGAAGCAUGACUAGUCUAACAGUGUUGGACUUAAGAAAGAACAAUUUCACAGGGAGUCUUCCAUCGUUAUGUGCGCAGAGCACUUCAUUGAGAACCAUUGUCUUGAAUGGUAAUCAAUUUAAAGGAACUCUCCCUGUGUCGUUGCUCAACUGUAGUGGUUUAGAAGUUCUUGAUAUGGGGAAUAACGCUAUAAAUGACACAUUUCCUGCUUGGCUAGGAACACUUCAACAACUGCAGGUCUUAAUAUUAAAGUCCAAUGUGUUCCAUGGACCAAUUAGUACUUGUCAGACUACGUUUUGCUUUCCCAAGUUGCGAAUUUUUGAUCUUUCGCGUAACAAAUUCAGUGGCUCACUCCCUGCAAAAAGUUUUUGCAAACUUCAAGGCAAUGAUUAAAUUAGAUGGUGAAGACACAGGAUAGAUCAAGUACAUGAAACCAUCUGAUGAUCCAUUUGACACAUCGUAUGAGGAUUCAGUGAGUUUGGUGAUCAAAGGCCUGGAUAUUGAGCUAGAAAGAAUCAGCACAAUUAUGACAACCAUAGACCUCUCGAGCAACCAUUUUGAAGGUGUCAUUCCGAAAACACUAAAGGAUCUCAGCUCACUUUGGCUACUCAAUUUAUCCCGUAACAAUCUCAUAGGUGAUAUUCCAAUGGAAUUGGGGCAAUUGAAUAAGCUUGAAGCGUUAGAUCUCUCUUGGAACCGGCUCACUGGAAAGAUUCCGCAGGAAUUGACAAGGCUAACAUUUCUGGAAAAGUUAAACCUUUCUCAGAAUGUUCUCGUUGGACCAAUUCCUCACGUUCUACAAUUCAACACAUUUGAAAAUGACUCGUAUGGCGGUAACCUUGAUCUAUGUGGUCCUCCUUUAUCAGAGCAAUGUGGAACGAGUGAUCUAUCCCAUGUUCCUCAACCAUUGGAGUCUGAAGACGAAUCAUAUUUUUUUAGUGGAUUUACGUGGGAAUCAGUAGUCAUAGGCUACAGUUGUGGACUAGUUGUUGGAACUGUUGUGUGGAGCCUCAUGUUUAAAUAUCGUAAGCCAGAAUGGUUUGUCGAAUUUUUUGAAGGCAUUUAUCCCAAGAAAAUGAGAAUGUCAAUGAAGAGAGCUCAGAGACGACGGACUUGAUGGAAGAUUGCAAGAGUGGACUUCUCUGUUUUUUAAUUUUCUUUUUGUUGUUUGUAUAUGUUUGAUAGCAAUAUAAUUGCAUGUGUUAUUUUGUGAAUUUCCACUGGAUUAAAAUUAGUGUUCUUGAUCUUUGCUUUCAAACUAAAAAAUUAAACUCAAAAUAAAAACAAGAGGACAUAAAACAUAACUUUCCUUUUUUACUAAAACAAUUUAUUCAAUUACUCUUGAGUUUAAUCAACUUCAACAUGUUUGGUAAUAUCAUCUCAAAUUAAUAAUACUAAAAAUGAUGGAUUUAAGAUCAUUCAAAUCCACAUAUAAAUUGAUUAUUGUAUAAUGGCAAUCCUCAUGCCUUCACUUAAUUGAAAGAAUGAGCCAAAGCUGUCAUGACAUGAGCUUGGUCUGAAAUAAUUUGUGUAGUUGAAGGAUUUUGUCCCAAAACAAUACAAUAACCAUCAUCAUAAUUCUCCAUUCCAUGUGCCAUUAGUUGCCAUACUAAACUUCCUCCCAUUGUUCCACCUUCUUUUGCCAAAUUAUACACAUUUCUAUAUACACUACUCAUAAAUAUAUCUCUUGAUCCUUGACCUCUACUAGACUUUCCAAAUUCAGCAAGCACUAAAGGUUUCUUUAAUAUAUUUCUUGCAUCUUCCCAAUGACUUGUUAUCCACUUUUCCAUCCACACCAAUUGUGCUUCAUCACUUUGUCCAGAUACCCUAUAACGAUCGAUAUAAAGAAAUAUUUAGACCUAUAUAAUGAAAACAUAUGAAAUUGUAUGUAGGGAAAAGAUGUAAAAACUACCAUUGGUCAGUGUAUGCAUGGAUAGUAGCAAAAUCAAUUUCAUUGAUAAGAUGGUUACUAAUGAUUUGAUAUUUCUAAAAUUCAAUUAAUUAAACUUGAAUUGGGGAUUACAUUAACAGUUUUUCCUGAAUAGUCAGCUUGAUCGCGAGGCUCAUUCAUGAGUUCCCAUUCCAUAAUUGUUGGAUCAUCUUUGUAAGCAACUUUAUUAAUACUAUUCAACCUUGUAACCACUUUCUGUAACAAUUUCGUAAUAUUAUUAAUUAAAAAAGUUGUUUAUAUGUAUUAAAUAAUAAUUACCCCAUAUAUACCUCAAUGUGGUUCUUCAAGUAUUUUUUGAGCAUAGGAUGAGUAUAGAAUUCAUCGUCAUUACUAAUUUGAGCUCCUGCAUUUCGCGCCCACCAAACAUAUUGAGCUUUUCCUCCAAAAAUCGUUUCAUUGAUUUACAAAGCUCAAGAUUAAACGAACACCAUAUUUCUUAGCUUCCGCGAUCACAAAAUCCAAGCCCUAAAUUUAGAAACAAUUAAAAUAAGUACUAUCUAAUUAAGAGACUCAUCACAUGCAUUACAAUGCAAUAAUGUAAAAGAUAUCAAAAUUAUAAUAAUAAACCUUUACCUGAAAAACACGUUCAUCAUAAACGCCAGGUGAUAUUUGUAAUGCUCUAUCACCUCCAUCACUAAAAGCCCAAGUACGACAAACAGAAAGACCAGAGGUAGAAGCAUCUUUAAGAACCUCAGUGCCUUUGUAUCUCUCAGUAGGGUCAGCAGCAACAUGCAUCAACCAAUAUGAGUUGAAACCAUUGAAUAGAAAAGGGGAUCCAUUGAGUUCAAAAUGAGAAUCCUUAACUCCUAUAAACCCGGAAUUUGCUUCACAAGCAAGAGCUAAGAACAAGAGAAAGAGCCCAGAAAUGCAACUUCUUUUUGUAUAAGACAUUUUGUUUAGUGAAUUAUAGAAGAUAUAUGUGUGCUAUGUUAGAUGACACCUUUUAUAGUGUGUUGAAGAUAAGGAAAUUUACUAAAAUUAAAUUAGCAAAACUUACAAAAACUAAAAAAAAUUCCUAGUGGAUAUAAUUGGAUAUUGAGAUUUGAUGAAUUUUUUUAAAAAAAUUAGUUAUUUGGUUAAGAUAGAAACAAAGUUCUGUUGAAAAAAUUGUAUGGGGAGAAAAGAAGAAGAAAAAUAUGGAAACAUUAAUUGGUUUGUUUUUUUUAAGGUUUGUUCACUAUUAGAUUUGAUGAUGAAAUAAUAUUGAAACGUGUACUCAUUGUAUUUUUUAUAGUAAUAUACUUGAAUAUUUCUAUGUGGAUGUGUUAUGUGUGUAUUUUAAUCUUAUUUUAUUGCAAGAAAUUGAGCCAAAAUAAAAAUAAAAAUACUUUUAAAAAAAGUUUAAAAGAGAAAUAAAGAGGGCAUAACAUUAUUUGGGAAUAAAAUAAUUUUUUUGGAAGAUAUAUUCUUAAAAAAAAGGUGAGUUUCUUAUUUAUUUUUUUGGUAUGAAUAAGUGAAUUUCUUACUUAUUUUCUGGUAACAUAUUUGGGAUCUUUGAUGUUUAGUUUAUGCUAAUUUGACAAAUUUCAUAGUCCAUAUGUCCCAAGUAUCAUUUUGGAUGAAGUCGUCAAAGACGACUUUAAACUUAGAAUAGGCAAAUUUAAAAUAAGUGUGAUCUUAUUAUACGUGGAGGCGGAUGCAAUGGUUUAAUUAUGAGUUCAAUCGAACUCAAUAUUUUUGUCACAUAACAUAUAUGUAAUGUAGAAGUCAAAAACACAAAAAUAAAAAGAGAUUCUAUAUUCAUAAUUAAAAAAAGUACAAUUAGUUCAGUUUAAAUUCUAAAUUCGACUCAAACUAUAUGUAUAUAGAGUUGUAAGUUGAAAACAAUAGGUUCACUUCUACUCAGAACUCGCCCUGAAUCCGCCUCUGGAAGUAACCACCUAUUCCACGGCUAUGGAGGAAAAAUUGAAAAGAUCGUCCCCAAAAUGCUAUUAUAUACCAAUAUAAAGUAUGAUUUGACGUAUACAGUGUAAUUUUUCGACGAAGAGUGUUCAGAGAAACCACAGAACACCGUAGCUCCGCCCAUGAUCCCUGUAAGCAACCACCUAUCCGGUCGUUAACAUAUUAACCUAAAAAAAAUAUAACCUGAAGUUACAAUUGAUAUUAUUCUAUUUUGUCAACUGGAUUUUAGCGUUAUUGUUGUUUCUCGAUCUAUAUUACUGUUUACUACUUUGUCAACCCUUUAGUUACAUUUUUGAAUUUCUUUUUCUAGCUGAAGUUAAAAUAUACUAUCAGUGUGGAGGGAAAUAGCAUUGAGAAGAUGCAUACAUACUUUUCUUUAGCAACUUGAGUCAUUGCAAACAAUGCAAAAUCUCCGCAGAUGUUGCGGUUGCCAAAAAGUUAAAUAGGCGAUUUCGUUGUGGGAAUGUUGUUGAAAUUAUAUUUUCGGAUGUAAUCCACUGCAUAAAAAUAGGAGCCAGAACCCUUGAAGCCAUAGGGAAGCACUGUUAUGUCUCACUAGUUUGCAUCGAACAAUGCAUCCCCUUAAGGUUACUGACAAGCUAUCUCAAGUGGAUGAAGCUUUGUCAAUAGCCAAUAUAAUGACAAAUCUCAAGCAACUCGAGCCUCCCUAGAUGUUGGUUGGUAUAAAAAGAAAAUUGAGGUCGUUAAAAACUGCAGACAUCUUGAGCUACUAGAUGUAAGAGGUUGUUGGAAUGUGAACCUGAUGAAAAUUUAGUGAAGAAAUUCCAUCUUAUAGGUGGUUGAUGCAAUUGUCAUAGAUUGCUAUAAUAGGAAUAGCUGGGACAAUUGUUCUAACUAUUCAAGUUUUUUGUCUAUGUACAAUGGGAUUUUGUGGUUGGUGAAGCGGAUGACGACGAAUUUGAUGAGAUGUCCGAUGUGUAUUGGGGGGAUGAUCAAGAUAUGGAGGAUGUAAAAAUGUGGUGUAAUGAUGACUUAAAUGAUGUGGACUCUGGAUAUGAUUGGCUGCCAUCUCCUUGAGGUUUGCUUAUAAAAUUCUACUUAUUCAAUUUCCAGAAGUUUUGAAAUACUUCUCUUCUCUAUGUUAAAUGCCUAUGCUUCUCUAUGUUAUAUAUGAAAGUUUGUCCGCUCUCUACAAUACAAGGUAAAUGCGAGUUAUGUGUCUUGUGUACCUUUUUCCUCUUUCUUUGUUCUCUUUUAUUACUUUCUUAACUGUAUGUAUUCAUAUAACAAUAUUUUCAUGCUAUCUACAUGUUUGCUACAUUUGAGUCGAGGGUCUUUCAAAAAAUAGUCUUUCUUCCUCCACGAGGUAAUUGUAAGGCCUACAUACACUCUACCAUCCCCAUACCUCAGUUGUGGGAUUCCAAUGAGUAUGCUGUUGUUUCUUAGCUUGUGGUUCUUUGAGGAGUUCAUGCUUUCAUUUGAAUUUUCCAUCUGGUUGUUUGUUUCUCCUUUUUAACUCUACUGCUGAUUUUUUAAACUAAAGUUAUUCUACUCCAUCUUGUGGUUUCCAGAUUUUCUGUUCUUUUUGUUUUUGUUUGAGCUUCUUCUUAAUCUGCUUCGUCAGCUUUCUAAAUUCAUGUAUGAGCUAGUAAAAGAAACAAAGUCUAGCAGAAGAAAGUUAUGACGCCAUAUCUAAAUAGCUUGAGUCAUGGAAAAGUGUCCCAUGACAGUUUUGUUGAGUUCAUGUGGUAGUUCUAGUUUAAUUUUAAAUUCUUAGAGUCAAAGUUCUAUUGUUGUGCUACUUAAUUAUGUUGUCUUAAUUAAUGUUUUGUUUUCCUAUGAUUUUUCAUUCUUUUAUCUUUUUUUUGUGCAGGGAGAGGGAACAAUUUUUGAAUUGAUUAUUAUCAAUGUGGUUUGUACAACAUUAGCCUGAUUUAUUUCAUUCAUUAUUAUAUUGUGUUACCAACAGUUUAGCUUUAAGAAACUUAUGAAAAGUGAAUACAUGUCAAAUGACAUGGAGAAAGCUUAAAGAUUGGUAGGGUUCAGUGCUUGUUACCUUUUACUAUAAUGCUUCUUAUUAGUCCUUUGUUAUAAAAGUUUAAUUAAUGCACCGGAUAUAGGGUAGUAGAGAUUCAUAUAAAAUUGUGCUUAAAUAGCCUUAACACUACUAAUAUAUAUCUUAAAAUAAUAAGCUUCACAUUUGAUGUAGUCUUGGUACUCUGAUUAAUUUGAAUUGAUAGUGUAUUAUUGUCGAAAUAACUAGGGUGUCCUACUCUAGUCUCUUUUUCAGCUGUCAUUUUGCUGGAUUUCUGUUUGUUUUGGGGUAUUUUUAACUAUCUCAGAUCUUUUCCAGAGUCUUUUAAUCAAAUCUGAUGGAAAUUUGCAUGAGCUUGCUAAAGUAUUAAGUUUAUGAAUGAGUUGUUUUGACAUACUGAAAGGUAAUCAUAAGUUAGAUUUGAAAUUUGAUUUUUCCUUUGUAAUUAUAGCCUCGGUUAAUCAAUCUCUUUGGUGCUUUAUGGUUAUCUAAAUUACAUAAUAUCUUUUUAGAAUAAAUAAGCUUUUUUGCUUCCAAUUUAUGUCCAGAUAAUGUGUAAAGUUGAUGACUGAUCCUUCCUAGUAAUUCUGGUUCUCAUGAUGGAUAAUUCCUUUAUUGAUGAUCUAAAACUCUAGUUAAUGAGAGGCAUAUAAACUGUGUUGUAAUUCUUUUAGUUACACCUUUUAUAUCUAUGGCAUGUCUAUUAACAUUUAUUCUUAUGUCUUUGACAUUUUCUUACAUCUAGAUUUAGAUUCAUUUAUUUGAAAUAUAUGCAAUUUUGUUUGGCAGAAAGACGUGUUUAGUUAUAUAAAUAAUGUGGAUCUCUUAAAAUUCGGAAACAUACCCACCUUAUUUCCAUGAUUAUUUAUGCUUUGAAUUGAACUAAGUUAUAUUCUUUUUUUUUCUGCAGCUUCUCAACACCUGAUUGUUCAAAAGAUCCUACAAGAACCUGUCAUUGAAGAGAGUAUAUAGAGCUGAUAUUAGCGACUAAAUGUUUAUGAACAAGAGAGAUACAUUCAUAUUUUUUCAGUUAUUUAAAGAUGUCCUCUUCUAUACAUGUCAUGGUUCCUUCUUUUUCUACAAUUGUAAUGUUGUAGAAGUGAGAUUGAUAUAUCUUUGAUAAUAAUGCUUAGUUCUUCGUAAUAAACUAUGAAAUAUUUUAUGAGUAUUGAUUAUAUAGUACAUUUUCAGAUGUAUUUAUAUAUUAAGAGUGUGGGCCUACAUAUAAAACACUAAUGUAGAUUGGGUUAGUUUUUGUAAUUAAUGAUUUUUAAUGAUGGGAAUAACAAUUUACGAAAGGAAUAUUUUGUUGUCGCUAAAACACUUUUAACGACAGAGCCUUUAACGACCGGCAACAACUGGAAAUUUUCCGGUUGUUAUUGACUAAUGACAACGGGAUCAAGGCUUUUAGCGACCGGAUUUCCUCUCGUUGAAGACCUAUUUUCCUGUAGUGCCAAGGUAAAUCUUUCUCAGAAAUCCUUAACUUUGAAUCCAUAUUAUUGAAACUUUGACCAACGUGAUAAUUCAAACGUGUAUUUGACCAUUAUCUCAAUUCCUUUUGUUAGUCCAGUACGUGACUAACUUUGAUAAGCUUCAAUUAAGGCCUUAAUUGGGUGUGACGGAGUCAAUUCUGUGGUGGCAAACUGGCUUGGGUUUCAGAAACCUGUCUAUUCUGGGCGCUCUGCAAUUAGAGGCUUUGUUGAGUAUCCGGAAAAACAUGGGUAUCAGCCUAAGUUCCACGCGUAUUUUGGAGGUGGAGUUCGGUUUGGAUUUCUUCCUAGUGAUGAGAAGAGUUUGUACUGGUUUUGCACAUUCACACCAUUUGUUGUUCAUUGUAGCCAGCUCCUACAUACUGUUUCUUUUGAAAUUUUACUUUUUGAAGGAUAUUUUUGUUGGCUAGAGAGCUUACCUCUCUGAAGGGGGAGCCUUGACGUAAUUGGUAAAGUUAUUGUCAUGUGACCUAGAGGUUACGGAUUUGAGCUGUGGAAACAGCCUCUUGCAGAAAUGUUGGGUAAGACUGCAUACAAUAGAUCCCUGUGGUCCAGACCUUCCCCGAACCCUGUGCAUAGUAGGAGCUUAGUGCACCGAGCUGCCCAGAUAGCUUACAUUUCAUAAACUAGUCAUGUUUAGUUGUUCAUUUUUAAUUGGUAUUUUAUGCAGUUGAUGGAAAUGCAGAACAAGAUCCAAUGAAAUUGAAGCAAUUCGUGUUGAACAAGGCUAGUAAUGUGUCUAAAGAACUCUCCACCAUUAUAGACAGAACUACGCUCGACUGUAUAUCUAUUGCUCAGCUGAAAUUGAGGUUGCCAUGGAAUGUUCUGCUUGGAAUAUUUAGAAAAUAACGUUUGCGUGGUAGGUGAUGCACUUCAUCCCAUGACUCCUGAUCUUGGUCAAGGUGGAUGUUCUGCUUUAGAGGACAGUGUUGUUAUCGCAAAGUGCCUCGGAGAAGCCUUGAUAAAACCGAUAACAGAACAAGAGAUGAUGAAUCUACGAAGAUUAGAAAAGGACUCGAGAAGUAUGCUAAAGAGAGGAGAUGGAGAAGUUUUACAUUUAUCAGUGCUGCUUAUUUAUCUGGUUUCAUACAAGAGAGUGAUAACAAGAUAAUCAGUUUCUUAAGA
rnacentral:lncRNA from 1 species